rnacentral:antisense_RNA from 1 species
AGAACACUAGAGUAUAGACGCCAUGAAUCAGAGGUCAGCAUUGAAAUAGUAAACGGGUAAGAUGAGAUACGGGAAGCAAAACUGAAGAAAAAGCACCAAAUCACAGGAGAUGAUUUGGUGCGUCCGAGUGGACUCGAACCACCGACCCCCACCA